UGCAUUAAAGAGGUGAUUAUUUGAUUUUCUAAAGGGGUUUAAACAAAAUAAUUGUGAAAAACCGGAAACAAAAAUUAUAAGAAACAAGGCAAAUAUUUACGGCGCGCUACGUAGGUAUUCACUUAUUCUAGGUAUUUUUUAUCAAGUUGUGAAAGUCGAAAACUGCAGCAGACGGUCGAUUAUUAACAUUCUCUCGGAGAAAUGUCGAAUGUGUCAAUAUUUUAAAAAUAAAUUAUCCUAACCUUCUGUCAUACGAUUACUGCAUAUUUGUGUGAUUGUUAAAUUAAUAUAAACAAAAUAAAAAUAUUAAAUUUUAGUGACAAUGGGCAAUAC